rnacentral:pre_miRNA from 1 species
UCUAAGUAAUCAGUGAAGCUGCCAGCAUGAUCUAUUUAGUGUUUGUAUUGCAAGGGUGGUUGAUUUUACAGUUUUUUUUUUCUUUUUAAAAAAUCACCACCCUUUCUGAUAAUACUAGAAAACCCUAGCUAGGUCAUGCGGACAGCUUCACUCGUUCCUUUG